GAUGAACGCUGGCGGCGUGCUUAACACAUGCAAGUCGAACGGAAAGGCCCAAGCUUGCUUGGGUACUCGAGUGGCGAACGGGUGAGUAACACGUGGGUGAUCUGCCCUGCACUUCGGGAUAAGCCUGGGAAACUGGGUCUAAUACCGGAUAGGACGAUGGUUUGGAUGCCAUUGUGGAAAGUUUUUUCGGUGUGGGAUGAGCUCGCGGCCUAUCAGCUUGUUGGUGGGGUAAUGGCCUACCAAGGCGUCGACGGGUAGCCGGCCUGAGAGGGUGUACGGCCACAUUGGGACUGAGAUACGGCCCAGACUCCUACGGAAGGCAGCAGUGGGGAAUAUUGCACAAUGGGCGCAAGCCUGAUGCAGCGACGCCGCGUGGGGGAUGACGGCCUUCGGGUUGUAAACUCCUUUCGCUAGGGACGAAGCGUUUUGUGACGGUACCUGGAGAAGAAGCACCGGCUAACUACGUG
rnacentral:rRNA from 1 species